GACGGAGGGGGCAAGCGUUGUUCGGAAUUAUUGGGCGUAAAGGGCUCGUAGGCGGACCGGUGUGUCUGGCGUGAAAUCUCCACUGCUUAACAGGGAGGGGCCGCUGGAAACUGCCGAUCUUGAGUAUGGUAGAGGACCAUGGAAUUCCGGGUGUAGCGGUGGAAUGCGUAGAUAUCCGGAAGAACACCGGUGGCGAAGGCGGUGGUCUGGACCAAAGCUGACGCCGAGGAGCGAAAGCCAGGGGAGCAAACGGG
rnacentral:rRNA from 1 species